rnacentral:rRNA from 1 species
GAUGAACGCUGGCGGCGUGCUUAACACAUGCAAGUCGAACGAGAAGUGGAGACGGAAACCUUCGGGCGGAAGACUUUACUUCGAGUGGCGGACGGGUGAUUAACGCGUGGGUAACCUGCCUCAUACAGGGGGAUAACAGUUGGAAACGACUGUUAAUACCGCAUAAGACCACAGCACCGCAUGGUGCGGGGGUAAAAACUCCGGUGGUAUGAGAUGGACCCGCGUUCGAUUAGCCAGUUGGCGGGGUAACGGCCCACCAAAGCGACGAUCGAUAGCCGAUCUGAGAGGAUGACCGGCCACAUUGGGACUGAGACACGGCCCAAACUCCUACGGGAGGCAGCAGUGGGGAAUAUUGCACAAUGGGGGAAACCCUGAUGCAGCGACGCCGCGUGAGUGAAGAAGUAUUUCGGUAUGUAAAGCUCUAUCAGCAGGGAAGAAAAUGACAGUACCUGAGUAAGAAGCCCCGGCUAACUACGUG